ACGCUAAAUUGACUACAUCAAUAACAAUACAUACAAUAUAUAAAUAGGGGCAAUUGCUUAUAUACUCCUGCAAAGUUUUCGACUUUCUGAUUUACCCCCGUUAGAAAGCUAAUAUUAAAAAUAUCCUUUUUACGUUCCCACCUAUUUCAAAUAUAUCCCUAGAGUUAAUUUUUGUUAGUGAGCUGUUAGCAACAGUCAUUAUUUAUGUGAAAUUACUAUUUUGUCCUUUCAAAUAUACCCUUCUACCAUCGCAAACUUUUCUUAUUUGUCCUAAG
rnacentral:lncRNA from 1 species